rnacentral:misc_RNA from 1 species
AUGAGGGCUUCAAAACCUGUUUUCUCUCUCCAUUCGAGGCAUGCAGUUAUCCAAGAAGAGCUCAUCGAUGGGAUUGCUGACAUUGAUGGAGGUGAUAACUGGAGGCAACCAGCUCUUCUAAGGCUUGCUCUUGAUGAUGUGCUUGAUUCUCUAAAGCCAAAGGAGAGCCUAGUGAUUAGACAGAGAUAUGGACUCGAUGGUAAAGGUGACAGAACAUUAGGGGAGAUUGCUGGUAACUUAAACAUCUCAAGAGAAAUGGUUAGAAAGUAUGAAGUGAAGGCGCUCAUGAAACUCAAGCACCCAGCUAGAGUGGAUUAUCUUCGCCGUUAUGUUGUCUGAACUAAUUAACUUCACAAGGUUUGCUUUCAUUGCUUAUGAUUAUUCAUCACCAGUUGCUGUAUACUGAUGACAUGUAUCAUAGUCAUUCUAACUACAUAAAUUAAAUAGAGAAAUCCCAUACAAUGUAAUAUACUUAUGCAGAACUUGGAGAUUUCAAAUCACCACAUAUACAU